rnacentral:rRNA from 1 species
UACAGAGGUCUCAAGCGUUGUUCGGAUUCAUUGGGCGUAAAGGGUGCGUAGGCGGCGCGGUAAGUCGGGUGUGAAAUCUCGGGGCUUAACUCCGAAACUGCAUUCGAUACUGCCGUGCUUGAGGACUGGAGAGGAGACUGGAAUUUACGGUGUAGCGGUGAAAUGCGCAGAUAUCGGGAGGAACACCGGUGGCGAAGGCGGUUCUCUGGGCCUGACCUGACGCUGAGGAGCGAAAGCGUGGGGAGCGAACAGG